UACGUAGGAGGCGAGCGUUUGUCCGGAUUUACUGGGCGUAAAGCGCGCGCAGGCGGCACACUAAGUACGAUGUGAAAUCUCCCUGCUCAACGGGGAGGGUGCAUAGUAAACUGGUGAGCUAGAGGACGGUAGAGGGGGGUGGAAUUGCUGGUGUAGCGGUGAAAUGCGUAGAUAUCUGGAGGAAUACCGGUGGCGAAGGCGGCAUCCUGGACCGGCAUUGACGCUGAGGAGCGAAAGCCAGGGGAGCAAAGCAGG
rnacentral:rRNA from 1 species